UACGAAGGGGGCUAGCGUUGCUCGGAAUUACUGGGCGUAAAGCGCACGUAGGCGGCUUUCUAAGUCAGGGGUGAAAUCCCGGGGCUCAACCUCGGAACUGCAUUUGAUACUGCAAAUCUCGAGUCCGGAAGAGGUGAGUGGAAUUCCUAGUGUAGAGGUGAAAUUCGUAGAUAUUAGGAAGAACACCAGUGGCGAAGGCGGCUCUCUGGGCCGGUACUGACGCUGAGGUGCGAAAGCGUGGGGAGCAGACAGG
rnacentral:rRNA from 1 species